rnacentral:rRNA from 1 species
UACGUAGGGUGCAAGCGUUGUCCGGAAUUAUUGGGCGUAAAGAGCUCGUAGGCGGUCUGUCGCGUCUGUUGUGAAAAACUCAGGGCUUAACCCUGAGCUUGCAGUGGGUACGGGCAGACUAGAGUGCGGUAGGGGAGACUGGAAUUCCUGGUGUAGCGGUGGAAUGCGCAGAGUAUCAGGAGGAACACCCGGUGGCGAAGGCAGAUCUCUGGGCCGUAACUGACGCUGGAGGAGCGAAAGCGUGGGGAGCGAACAGG